rnacentral:rRNA from 1 species
CCCUUAGAUGUUCUGGGCCGCACGCGCGCUACACUGACGGAGGCAGCGAGCGUGUCCUUCGCCGGCAGGUGCGGGCAAUCUUGCGAGUCUCCGUCGUGCUGGGGAUAGAUGGUUGCAAUUGUCGAUCUUGAACGAGGAAUUCCUAGUAAGCGCGAGUCAUCAGCUCGCGCUGAUUACGUCCCUGCCCUUUGUACCCACCGCCCGUCGCUACUACAGAGUGCCCGUGUCCAAGAAACGGUCGGACCUGUGCGGCCUCUCCGGGCGACCGGAGGGCCGUUACGGGGAAGACCCUUUAUUUGACGCGGGUCGAUGAAGUAAAAGUCGUAACA